CAGGAUGAACGCUAGCGAUAGGCUUAACACAUGCAAGUCGAGGGGCAGCACGGUGUAGCAAUACACUGGUGGCGACCGGCGUACGGGUGCGUAACACGUAUGCAACCUACCCGCUAUUGGGGGAUAACCCGGCGAAAGUCGGACUAAUACCCCAUAUUAUUCUUACCGGGCAUCCGGUAGGUCUGAAAGAUUUAUCGAUUGCGGAUGGGCAUGCGGAUGAUUAGCUAGUAGGUGGGGUAACGGCUCACCUAGGCGACGAUCAUUAGGGGUUCUGAGAGGAAGGUCCCCCACACUGGAACUGAGACACGGUCCAGACUCCUACGGGAGGCAGCAGUGAGGAAUAUUGGUCAAUGGGCGCUAGCCUGAACCAGCCAAGUCGCGUGAAGGAUGAACCAGAUCUAUGGUUUGUAAACUUCUUUUGCAGGGGAGUAAAGUGCGACACGUGUGUUGUAUUGCAAGUACCCUGCGAAUAAGCAUCGGCUAACUCCGUGCCAGCCGCCGC
rnacentral:rRNA from 1 species